rnacentral:rRNA from 1 species
UCGAGCGAGAACCUGGGCUUCGGCCCUGGGGACAGCGGCGAACGGGUGAGUAACACGUGGGUAAUCUGCCCUUGACAUCGGGAUAGCCCGGGGAAACCCGGAUUAAUACCGAAUAGCCUCCGGAGCCUUCGGGCGCCGGAGAAAAGGUAGCUUCGGCCUCUGGUCAAGGAUGAGCCCGCGGCGGAUUAGCUUGUUGGCGGGGUAACGGCCCACCAAGGCGACGAUCCGUAGCUGGUCUGAGAGGACGAUCAGCCACACUGGGACUGAGACACGGCCCAGACUCCUACGGGAGGCAGCAGUGGGGAAUCUUGCGCAAAUGCGGGAAACCGUGACGCAGCGACGCCGCGUGGGGGAAGAAGGCCUUCGGGUUGUAAACCUCUUUCAGGAGGGACGAAGCUACUCGGGUUAAUAGCCCAGAGGGUGACGGUACCUCCAGAAGAAGCCCCGGCUAACUACGUGCCAGCAGCCGCGGUAAUACGUAGGGGGCAAGCGUUGUCCGGAUUUAUUGGGCGUAAAGAGCGUGUAGGCGGCUUGGUAGGUCCGCUGUGAAAACUCGAGGCUCAACCUUGAGAUGUCGGCGGAAACCACUUGGCUAGAGUCCGGAAGAGGAGAGUGGAAUUCCCGGUGUAGCGGUGAAAUGCGCAGAUAUCGGGAAGAACACCUAUGGCGAAGGCAGCUCUCUGGGACGGUACUGACGCUGAGACGCGAAAGCGUGGGGAGCGAACAGGAUUAGAUACCCUGGUAGUCCACGCCGUAAACGAUGGGUGCUAGGUGUGGGCGGUGUCGACUCCGUCCGUGCCGAAGCUAACGCAUUAAGCAC